GAACACAAAAGUCCACUACUUUAUGUAAUUACAACUAGAACCCAAAAAUUUCAUCAAAUACAAAAACUUCAUUAAAGGAGCAAAACAAUUUGUCCUUUAGUGUUUUUCGGCCUUUACGUAAAAACGUAAACUUUCGGGUCAAAGUAUAAAUACACAAAAGUAUCAAAACUUUAUGUAAUUGCAUAAAAACCCCAAAAGUACCCUAUUUUAAUUGGGUGGCCGGUUGGUGAGAGUGAAAAAGGAGGGGGGAAAAGGUUUUGGUGAAAAAUUCAAAAUUUGAAAGUGUUUUGUGCAAGUGGAUAGGUAGGUGAGGAAAAGUUGAUUGGGAUGGGUUCUAAGAAAAAUGUUUUGUCAAACAAUAAAGGCAUAAAUCAUCCAUCACCAAUCAAUAAUAAACCAAAACUUUAUUCAAAGCAACAAACAUAUUGAAUCAAAACACCAAAACUUUUUGUUUUUGUUAAGAACAUCAAGAACAUUGAAGAACACACAUGAAAACUCAUAAGAGCUCCAUGAAUGUUUUCACUCAAUAAAAUUCAAAAUUUCACUACUCAAAAGGGGGUUAACAUCCUAGGGUACUUAGGGGUUCCAAAAGUGACCGUAAAAAACUUUUAACAAGACAAACAAGAACCCAAAAAACCACCCUUUGGAUUUGGCCGAAUUUCCCAAAAACAUUGCACCAAAUUUUAGCUCCAAAAUUCAUGCUCAUAUGAACUACAUCUACAACAUUUGAGAUGGCAAAUUUUCUAACAAAAUUUACAUUCAAAGAAGCAAGAAUAAAGCUUGUAACAAUUACAACAUUAAAAUCAAAGACUAUGAACUACAAAACCCAAAAGGAUUCACCAACUACUAGACCUAGGCUCUUGAUACCACUUGAAGGAAAUUUUGUGAAAAACAUGUUCAUUUGAGCAAAAUCUAUGGCAUGCAAUUAACAUUUAAAGGCGAAAUCAUGCUUGUAUGCACUAAAAAACAAAACAUUACCCAUGAAAUUCAAAGCCUAGUAGAAAGGUGAACCAAGACUCAACUCAAGAACAAAGUGAGUUGAGAGAUUUUAUACCUUUGUUGAUUCCCCUUUGCAUAAGGAUGGACUUGAAGAAGAGGAUGGUUGAGGAUGGUUGAAAGGAUUCUCCAAGUUCCCAAAGUUGAGAACCUCUAAUUUUUCCACACCAAUGAUGGACUUGAAGAAGAGAUAAGUGACCUAGAGGAAGUAAGAUUGCUAGCUAAAAUCCUCUAGGGUGA
rnacentral:lncRNA from 1 species